AAACCUAUCAGGUGAAAGGAGAAAAGAACUUCAGAAUGAUUGUCAUGGGUUGAAGAUGAUAUUCUUGCUUACAAGAUGGCUUAAAGAGUCUUUAAAAAUUACUGAGGGAAUCUCCUAAAGUCCUACACUUCCAGCAUGGCAUCUUCCAACUUCCUGUGCUGUAGAGAAGGGGAAUUUAUAAUAUACAGUGCUUUUCAUCCAUGAAAGACAAAUUGACCCCACUGAAAUUUUCUCUGACACAUCUGUUAAAGUUGUAGAAACACUGGCUAUCUUUGCAUCUGUCAAUCAAAGGCCUACAUUCAAGGUAUGUGAAAUGUUUGAAAUAUUAUCUCCGAAAUAAUAAACAUUGUAUACCCUUUCUCA